UACGAAGGGGGCUAGCGUUGCUCGGAAUCACUGGGCGUAAAGGGUGCGUAGGCGGGUCUUUAAGUCAGGGGUGAAAUCCUGGAGCUCAACUCCAGAACUGCCUUUGAUACUGAGGAUCUUGAGUUCGGGAGAGGUGAGUGGAACUGCGAGUGUAGAGGUGAAAUUCGUAGAUAUUCGCAAGAACACCAGUGGCGAAGGCGGCUCACUGGCCCGAUACUGACGCUGAGACGCGAAAGCGUGGGGAGCAAACAGG
rnacentral:rRNA from 1 species